UACGUAGGGUGCAAGCGUUAAUCGGAAUUACUGGGCGUAAAGCGUGCGCAGGCGGUUUUGUAAGUCUGUCGUGAAAUCCCCGGGCUCAACCUGGGAAUGGCGAUGGAGACUGCAAGGCUAGAGUUUGGCAGAGGGGGGUAGAAUUCCACGUGUAGCAGUGAAAUGCGUAGAGUAUGUGGAGGAACACCGAUGGCGAAGGCAGCCCCCUGGGUCAAAACUGACGCUCAUGCACGAAAGCGUGGGGAGCAAACAGG
rnacentral:rRNA from 1 species